UACGUAGGGUGCGAGCGUUGCCCGGAUUUAUUGGGCGUAAAGGGCGCGUAGGCGGCCUGGCGCGUCGGCUGUGAAAUCUCCCGGCUCAACUGGGAGGGGACGGCCGAUACGGCUGGGCUUGAGCGAGGUAGGGGAGAGUGGAAUUCCCGGUGUAGUGGUGGAAUGCGUAGAUAUCAGGAAGAACACCCGUGGCUAAGGCGGCUCUCUAGUACGGUACUGACGCUGAGACGCGAAAGCGUGGGGAGCGAACAGG
rnacentral:rRNA from 1 species